GCCUAUGCCUAUCAAAAUGUAUAAACUACUGUAAGUUGCUUUGGACAAAAGAGUCUGCUAAAUGGCAUAUAAAGAUGUAUUAUUACAUUGGUACAAGACAACCAGUGAACUACAGUUUUUGAAUAAUGGAAAAUGGCUCGGAUCAGGCGGUGAGUGUGGGUGUUGGAUCAAUACAGGGGGGCCAUUGGAAGAGGAAUGCUUGGCUUGACGGGAGGGUUCAGCAUUCGAGUGGAUGGAACAGGGAGGGAACUCGUGGGCACAUGGUCUAGUAAGAGCAACGUGGGGUGAACGCACUCCCAGACUGUGCAUAGUGUCUGUCAGGGAGAGAGGGCCAGAGCAAGCCCGCUUCUGUGAAGGUAUCACAGACCUGUGUUUCGUAGCAAGGGCUAAGUUCUUGUGACAAGACAAUGCAGAACCAUAGGGGGCCAAGUUCGGUAUCCAUUGCCAAUCCAGCCGGUCCAAUUUAGCUUUCUGUUCCCACCAUCUUACCUUGUUAAUGGCAAGAAAGGACUCAGAACCUCAGGCCUGGAACAAAUCACAAAUGUCAUCUCCGCUCAUGCAGAUUGCAAUUGUUUGUGUGCAACCCGCAGCCCUGAGGUCUUGGGAUCUGGCCCUGAAGAGCGUAAGGAGGUCAAGGGGUGUGCUCCAGGGGUGUGUAUCCGUCCCCCUCCAACACCUCUCUGGUCCAGUUCAAUUCCUUACCCCACCAAUGGCCCCAACCGAACAAUACAAUGCCCUCUCCAGGAGGCAAGUCCAUCCCGAAGCUCCUCAUAAUUCGCAUGGAAGGGGCCAUUGUACAGUAGCCCUUUGAGAAUGACCACCAACUGACACAACUUAUCUUUUUCUUAUGGGAAAGAAGUGGGGGUGACUGAAAAAAUGUAUGGACAAAUACAGAGGCACAAAACAGUGCAUGUGUACAGUUAUUUUUUUUUCUCGUAACAACUGCACAACCCCGUUCAAUUAUGGAAAGUGCCAGUAAGGUUGGGCUUCAUAUUAUUCAUAGUCCACUGAAUGCAAAAGUAAUGGAUAACUUGAGGUGUUUAUUAACGAUGACAAUAUGUUGCCUACGGGGUUCUUGUUUAGUUAAUUGUGACAGGUUUUGGCAUGAAUGUGGCUGUAUGGUUCUAACACAUAAAACAUUUCUUACUGUCUAUUUGGUGGACCCCUU
rnacentral:lncRNA from 1 species